CCCUUGGAGAGGUGGUCCAGAGCCACGAA
rnacentral:sRNA from 1 species